AUUGAACGCUGGCGGCAGGCUUAACACAUGCAAGUCGAGCGAGCGGCGGACGGGUGAGUAAUGUCUGGGAAACUGCCUGAUGGAGGGGGAUAACUACUGGAAACGGUAGCUAAUACCGCAUACCAUCAGAUGUGCCCAGAUGGGAUUAGCUAGUAGGUGGGGUAAUGGCUCACCUAGGCGACGAACCCUAGCUGGUCUGAGAGGAUGACCGGCGAAACGGGAACUGAGAAACGGUCCAGACUCCUACGGAGGGCAGCAGUGGGGAAUAUUGCACAAGGGGCGAAAGCCUGAUGCAGCCAUGCGGCGUGUGUGAAGAAGGCCUCCGGGUUGUAAAGUACUUUCAGCGGGGAGGCGUUACUCGCAGAAGAAGCACCGGCUAACUCCGUGCCAGCAGCCGCGGUAAUAC
rnacentral:rRNA from 1 species